UACGUAGGGCGCAAGCGUUGUCCGGAAUUAUUGGGCGUAAAGAGCUCGUAGGCGGUUUGUCGCGUCUGCUGUGAAAACCUAAGGCUCAACCUUGGGCUUGCAGUGGGUACGGGCAGACUAGAGUGCGGUAGGGGUGACUGGAAUUCCUGGUGUAGCGGUGGAAUGCGCAGAUAUCAGGAGGAACACCGAUGGCGAAGGCAGGUCACUGGGCCGAUACUGACGCU
rnacentral:rRNA from 1 species